rnacentral:rRNA from 1 species
GUCUCUCUUGAGUGGAUCCUGAGUACGACGGAGCACGUGAAAUUCCGUCGGAAUCUGGGAGGACCAUCUCCUAAGGCUAAAUACUCUCUAGUGACCGAUAGUGAACCAGUACCGUGAGGGAAAGGUGAAAAGCACCCCGGAAGGGGAGUGAAAUAGAACCUGAAACCGUGUGCUUACAAGUAGUCAGAGCCCGUUAAUGGGUGAUGGCGUGCCUUUUGUAGAAUGAACCGGCGAGUUACGAUUUGAUGCAAGGUUAAGCAGUAAAUGUGGAGCCGUAGCGAAAGCGAGUCUGAAUAGGGCGUUUAGUAUUUGGUCGUAGACCCGAAACCAGGUGAUCUACCCUUGGUCAGGUUGAAGUUCAGGUAACACUGAAUGGAGGACCGAACCGACUUACGUUGAAAAGUGAGCGGAUGAACUGAGGGUAGCGGAGAAAUUCCAAUCGAACCUGGAGAUAGCUGGUUCUCUCCGAAAUAGCUUUAGGGCUAGCCUCAAGUGAUGAUUAUUGGAGGUAGAGCACUGUUUGGACGAGGGGCCCCU